rnacentral:lncRNA from 1 species
AUGUUCCAAGGAUGCUCCAGGAUGCUUUGGAAUGCUUCCGGGAUGCUCCAGGGACAACCAGGGAUACUCCAAGGAUGCUCCAAGGACCCUGCAGUCCCCUAUUGCCAACACUCACCAAUAUCCAUGUCCACAGGGUUCCGUGUGCGUGUCUCGGCAAGGAAGCAGGUCCGGGCCCGGAGGCAGACGGCGCUGGAGCCACUGCGCUGGCAGUUCCGUUGUGUGACACUGACAGCUGCUGGCUCCACAGACAUCCAUGCGAACACCUGGAUAAUCCAGCGGGACCUGAGGGACACAGUCACACCUGGGAUUUCAUCAGGAUCAUGUGGGAACAGAGACACCCACCCAGCCCUAACCUGGAUCUUGUCACAGGGGAAACUGAGGCAUGGAGAACCCUGGGAGGAUCCCACGUUCUUACAAGAGGAAACUGAGGCACAGAGUCCCCUUCCCCCUGAAUGUCUUCAUGACCCACAUGUCUCUGUCCCCGGGCCGUCUCUGUCCUUCUCCAUGUUCCUAUUCCCGGGGUAUCCCCAUGGCUGGGAUGUCUGUGUCCCUCACCCCCUGACCCCUACUCACCGGAGCACUACAGCCGCACCAUGUGCCCCCACGGCCACGUCCACCAGCCCGUCCCCGUCCAUGUCCACCCGUCCAUCCACGCUGAUCCCGAAAUACCGGAGGCUCCACCCCAGCGCCGCCGCCUCGAUGCGCUGGGAACGAGAGUUGUGGCACAGCCAGUGGCUCGUACAGGGUCGUGAUCACCGCAACCCCGACACCGAGCCCCUCCCAGCGCCAUCUCACCUGCUUGUACUGGGGCAGGAGGGUGGCCGGGGAGACGUGGAACACGUAGAGAGCACCGCGGUGCUCGUCCUCCAGCGGCGCUCCCACCACGGCUCCGGCCAGCCCGUCCUGGCUCAGGUUCGGCACCACGCCCAGGGCGGAACCGAAUCUGGAAUCCUGCUGCCUCGGCUCAGGGUGCAGCGACCCUGCGGGGCUCAGGCGGUCCUGGGUGGUGCGGGGGGACCCUCGGUACCCCCACGAGACAGGCACCCUCUCAAUCCCACUGUGUUCCCCCGAUACCCUCCCAUCCCUCUGCAUCCCGCUGAUCCUCCCAGACCUCUGUCCUCAGUGCACCCCGACCUCCCCGUCCACCCCAGUCCCCUGCCCGUCACCUACCCUCUCCCCAGUCCCCCACCUGCCCCACGACGUACAGCUACCCACCCUGCCCGACAGCCGCAGGCCCACACCUACCCUCUCACCUGCCCCACACGGUACACAUAG